CCCCGCCCCCACUGGUUUUUGCUGUCGAUCUCGUCCUCUUUUGAUCGGUUUCUCGUUUCCAUGAGAGGGAAAGCCAGAUGCAUUAUCUAUGAAAAAAAAUUGAAACUUGCAAGCAUUAAAGGUGAAGAACUUGAUUUUUUGGAAGUCGAUUAAUCAAAAUGUUUUGUCGAUUGUGUUAAUCUGUGCGGCUGAUGGGCUUUUCGAAGCGAGCAGAAGUCGGUAAUGAUCUUCUUUGGGGUACUUGUGAGUCUGCGAUUCGAUUUCUAACGCAAGUUUUAAUAGAUGAAUGAGACGAUGGAUCAAAAUUCACCCUUUUAGAUUCAUGGGGGCCUCUUGCCUGGGCUGCUCUUUUUCAAAGGCAAUUUGCAGAUGGAUGAAUUAAUUGGAAUCCUGAAGAAUGCUAAAAUGGGGUUUACAUUUCGAUCUUUGAUGAUCUAGGGAAAUUCGUACUUGUGGAUGUUGCUUGAUACAAUCUCAUGUGUUUGCUAUAUUCUGGAUCUUGUAUUAUGCAAUCAGGAAGGCCAUCAAAUUUUCUAGGACAGCUGUUUUUUUUAGAUUAAGCUGACUUGUAAGUAAUCCAAAUGUGACGAAACAUAAGUCAUCAGACUUGACUUUAAUGGAAUAUUAUGACAUCAAUGAUAGAAGAAAACCUUCACUUUGUA